UCCGGUUUGUCACCGGCAGUCCCAUUAGAGUGCCCAACUAAAUGUAGCAACUAAUGGCAAGGGUUGCGCUCGUUGCGGGACUUAACCCAACAUCUCACGACACGAGCUGACGACAGCCAUGCAGCACCUGUGCACGGACUCCGAAGAGGAACCGAUGUUUCCACCGGCUUUCCCGUGCAUGUCAAGCCCAGGUAAGGUUCUUCGCGUUGCUUCGAAUUAAACCACAUGCUCCACCGUUUGUGCGGGCCCCCGUCAAUUCCUCUGAGUUUUAGCCUUGCGGCCGUACUCCCCAGGCGGGAUGCUUAAAGCGUUAGCUGCGGCACGGAGGGGGUCGACACCCCCCACACCUAGCAUCCACCGUUUAGGGCGUGGACUAC
rnacentral:misc_RNA from 1 species